GGAGAGCAGGCUGCAUGGCGCAGACUCCGGUUUGAACCCGGUCCCACCGUAGCUAUACGGUGACAGUUCGAUUCUGUUGCUCUCCUCCA
rnacentral:tRNA from 1 species